rnacentral:rRNA from 1 species
GAUGAACGCUGGCGGCGUGCCUAAUACAUGCAAGUCGAGCGAACGGACGAGAAGCUUGCUUCUCUGAUGUUAGCGGCGGACGGGUGAGUAACACGUGGAUAACCUACCUAUAAGACUGGGAUAACUUCGGGAAACCGGAGCUAAUACCGGAUAAUAUUUUGAACCGCAUGGUUAAAAAGUGAAAGACGGUCUUGCUGUCACUUAUAGAUGGAUCCGCGCUGCAUUAGCUAGUUGGUAAGGUAACGGCUUACCAAGGCAACGAUGCAUAGCCGACCUGAGAGGAUGAUCGGCCACACUGGAACUGGGACACGGUCCAGACUCCUACGGGAGGCAGCAGUAGGGAAUCUUCCGCAAUGGGCGAAAGCCUGACGGAGCAACGCCGCGUGAGUGAUGAAGGUCUUCGGAUCGUAAAACUCUGUUAUUAGGGAAGAACAUAUGUGUAAGUAACUGUGCACAUCUUGACGGUACCUAAUCAGAAAGCCACGGCUAACUACGUG